GACGAACGCUGGCGGCGUGCUUAACACAUGCAAGUCGAACGGAAAGGCCCUGCUCUUGUGGGGUGCUCGAGUGGCGAACGGGUGAGUAACACGUGAGUAACCUGCCCUUGACUUUGGGAUAACUUCAGGAAACUGGGGAUAAUACCGGAUAGGAGCUCCUGCUGCAUGGGGGGGGUUGGAAAGUUUCGGCGGUUGGGGAUGGACUCGCGGCUUAUCAGCUUGUUAGGGGGGGAGUGGCUUACCCAGGCUUUGACGGGUAGCCGGCCUGGGAGGGUGGCCGGCCACAUGACGCCUAAGGGACGGCCCAGACGGGUACGGUAGGCAGUGGGGGGGAACCUGGCCCAAUGGGCGGAAGUCUGAGGCAGAAACGUCGCGUUCGGGAUGACGGCCUGCGGGUUAUGAACCGCUUUCGCCUGUGACGAAGCGUGAGUGACGGUAAUGGGUAAAGAAGCACCGGCUAACUACGUG
rnacentral:rRNA from 1 species